rnacentral:tRNA from 1 species
GCCGGGGUAGUUCAGUGGUAGAACGCCACAUUCAUAAAGUGGAAGUCGAGAGUUCAAUUCUCUCCCUCGGCA